GAUGAACGCUGGCGGCGUGCCUAAUACAUGCAAGUCGAGCGAACGGACGAGAAGCUUGCUUCUCUGAUGUUAGCGGCGGACGGGUGAGUAACACGUGGAUAACCUACCUAUAAGACUGGGAUAACUUCGGGAAACCGUAGCUAAUACCGGAUAAUAUUUUUAACCGCAUGGUUCAAAAGUGAAAGACGGUCUUGCUGUCACUUAUAGAUGGAUCCGCGCUGCAUUAGCUAGUUGGUAAGGUAACGGCUUACCAAGGCAACGAUGCAUAGCCGGCCUGAGAGGGUGAUCGGCCACACUGGAACUGAGACACGUUCCAGACUCCUACGGGAGGCAGCAGUAGGGAAUCUUCCGCAAGGGGCGAAAGCCUGACGGAGCAACGCCGCGUGAGUGAUGAAGGUCUUCGGAUCGUAAAACUCUGUUAUUAGGGAAGAACAUAUGUGUAAGUAACUGUGCACAUCUUGACGGUACCUAAUCAGAAAGCCACGGCUAACUACGUG
rnacentral:rRNA from 1 species